GGACGAACGCUGGCGGCGUGCCUAACACAUGCAAGUCGAACGGACGAGGGGGAGCUUGCUCCCUGAGUUAGUGGCGAACGGGUGAGUAACGCGUGAGCAACCUGCCUUUCAGAGGGGGACAACGGUUGGAAACGACCGCUAAUACCGCAUGAUGCAUUCUGACCGCAUGAUCGGGAUGCCAAAGAUUUAUCGCUGAAAAGAUGGGCUCGCGUCUGAUUAGAUAGUUGGCGGGGUAACGGCCCACCAAGUCGACGAUCAGUAGCCGGACUGAGAGGUUGAACGGCCACAUUGGGACUGAGAUACGGCCCAGACUCCUACGGGAGGCAGCAGUGGGGAAUUAAUUGGGCAAUGGGGGAAACCCUGACCCAGCAACGCCGCGUGAAGGAAGAAGGCUUUCGGGUUGUAAACUUCUUUUACCAGGGACGAAGGACGUGACGGUACCUGGAGAAAAAGCCACGGCUAACUACGUGCCAGCCGCCGC
rnacentral:rRNA from 1 species